rnacentral:rRNA from 1 species
AAUGGGCGCAAGCCUGAUCCAGCUAUCCCGCGUGCAGGAUGACGGCCUAUGGGUUGUAAACUGCUUUUGUACAGGAAGAACGCCCUCAUUUAUGAGGGCCUGACGGUACUGUAAGAAUAAGCACCGGCUAACUCCGUGCCAGCAGCCGCGGUAAUACGGAGGGUGCAAGCGUUAUCCGGAAUCACUGGGUUUAAAGGGUCCGUAGGCGGGCCUGUAAGUCAGGGGUGAAAGUCUGUGGCUCAACCAUAGAAUUGCCUUUGAUACUGCAGGUCUUGAGUCGUUGUGGGGUUGCCGGAACAUGUGGUGUAGCGGUGAAAUGCAUAGAUAUCACAUAGAACACCGAUCGCGAAGGCAGGUGACCAACAACGUACUGACGCUGAUGGACGAAAGCGUGGGUAGCGAACGGGAUU